GAGUGGCGCACGGGUGCGUAACGCGUAUGCAACCUACCUAUAACUGGGGAAUAGCCUUCUGAAAGGAAGAUUAACACCGCAUAACAUCAUGAAACGGCAUCGUUUUAUGAUCAAAUCUCCGGAGGUUAUAGAUGGGCAUGCGUGACAUUAGCUAGUUGGUGAGGUAACGGCUCACCAAGGCUACGAUGUCUAGGGGGUCUGAGAGGAUGAUCCCCCACACUGGUACUGAGACACGGACCAGACUCCUACGGGAGGCAGCAGUAAGGAAUAUUGGACAAUGGGCGCAAGCCUGAUCCAGCCAUGCCGCGUGAAGGAUGACGGCCCUCUGGGUUGUAAACUUCUUUUAUAUGGGAAUAAACCCCUGGUUUCUACCGGGGCUGAAUGUACCGUAAGAAUAAGGAUCGGCUAACUUCGUGCCAGCAGCCGCGGUAAUACGAAGGAUCCAAGCGUUAUCCGGAUUUAUUGGGUUUAAAGGGUGCGUAGGCGGACUAUUAAGUCAGUGGUGAAAGCCUGCAGCUUAACUGCAGAACUGCCAUUGAUACUGAUGGUCUUGAGUACAUUUGAGGUGGGCGGAAUGUGUCAUGUAGUGGUGAAAUACUUAGAUAUGACACAGAACUCCGAUUGCGAAGGCAGCUCACUAAACUGUAAC
rnacentral:rRNA from 1 species